UACGUAGGGGGCAAGCGUUGUCCGGAUUUAUUGGGCGUAAAGCGCUCGCAGGUGGUUCGUUGCGUCGUGCGUGAAAGACCCUGGCUCAACUGGGGGGGUGUCGUGCGAUACGGGCGAACUGGAGGCCAGUAGGGGGAUGCGGAAUUCCGGGUGUAGUGGUGGAAUGCGUAGAGAUCCGGAGGAACACCAGCGGCGAAGGCGGCAUCCUGGACUGGUCCUGACACUCAGGAGCGAAAGCGUGGGGAGCGAUCCGG
rnacentral:rRNA from 1 species